rnacentral:tRNA from 1 species
GGCAAGGUGGCCGAGCGGUCUAAGGCGCCAGGUUCAGGUCCACUUGAAUUAACUUACUCCCAGAGUACUUCCUGGCCUCGCAAGAGGCGUGGGUUCGAAUCCCACCCUUGUCA